GUCUAUCUCUCUCUUAACAUUUACAGGCUGAGAUCACUGUGGAGGAACAAGCAAUAGAGUCUUGUCAAGAUUUUAUCUCAGGGUAAUGCUUAGUUGAAAAUGAAAGCCUGAAAUACUGAUUUUCUUCGUGAGAAGAAUUGACUGAUGUUGAGAACCCCCAGUGUCUGACCGAGGAAAGCUGAGCAGGGCCACUGCAGCCCGCGGCUCUCUGACAGCAGCAGGGGCUGGGUUGAGGCAGCGGCUGCUGGCCUGGGGCGCACCCGUAAAUGGACUUGGGGCUCAAUGCUGUGACUCUUAGUCGUGGCUUUGGAUGUUGGAAUACCGGCGGUGAUCUUCUGUCUCUUAUCAACUCCCCUGAUUUAAAGGAAAGAUGAGUGAAGAACCGAAGGAGAAAAAUGCCAAACCUGCUCACAGGAAAAGGAAAGGGAAAAAGGUAAGUGAACAUGGCACUGGGCAUUCCUCAUUACGCCUCCCAUCUGGCCUUGACUCAUGUUGCCUUUUUAUGGACUAACACUCAACAAGGCAGUUAGAAAAAAUAUGCAGGUACUGUGGAUACUAUGGAAGUAUGUAUUCUAAGAGAGAUGGUAAGUGUGGUCUGUUUUAAGUUUCCUCGUUGAUACCAAGCUGGGCAGCCUCUCUCUCUUUCCCACUCCUCCCAGCCAAAGUGGCUUUAUUGGUUUAGUAAGCAUCUCGAGCUGGCAUGGCUAAAAAAAUAAGUUUCACUUUCAGGCUUGUCGGAUAUGCUUUUUUGGAGGAUGGUUUUUUUUAUCAAAAGCCUGAAAUCAUUUGACAUUGUUGGUGUUUUAAGUGAAUCUGUGUCACCGUGUGUUGUCGUUCACAUCUGGCCAGUUCGGAAUGAAAUGUACUAUUUUGCAGUACUGCGGGUGAUGUGAUCCUUACGACAUGGUCUUUGUAGCUCAGAGAAAGAAAACUCCAGGCUGAAAGAGUCUGAAGUUGUACCCAAAGUAAACAUUCUAAAUUGGUAGUUGCCUAAAGUCUAGAGUAUUAUUAGAACUCUUUUGAAUUCACAGUUCUAAAUCAAAGAAGUGUAAUUGGAGUUUCCUUUUUAAAUAUUUGAAGACUGUAUUUACUAUACUGUUCAAAUAUUAGAUCUAUAUUUGGAAGGUGAUUUUAAAGCAUUUUAAGCUAAAUAGGAAUGUGAAUUCUUAUUCAAUUCACUAUUGAAAAGAUGUACUACCAUUAAAGACUUUCUAAAGUAUUUAGUAGCUUUUUAAUAUUUUAUGACUGUUAUAGCGAAAUCCUUUAAAUAUUUCCAUUGUUAAUUCUCUAGGAGUUAAAAUUAUAGUAACAUUUUGACUUUGUCUUUUUUGAGAUUGGAAGUUUGAUUUACUAGUUGGCCAUUGCAUUUUGUUGAGAAUUAUAUUUCACUUUGUUUAAAAAUGAGACCCAGAGAAGCCAUAUUUAUAGAUCCUUGGUGGAUGUUUUGUUGUUGUUUUCGUUAAUGUUGGAAAACAUAAUAUUGUGUAAAAGUGGUUUCUUUUUUGAAGUGUGCAUUAAUGUAUUUUCAAGUUGACAUAUUUAGAAAAUAUCUGGAUGAAAUGGCUUUUUUUUUUUUGAAUUGACUUCUUGUUAUAGCUUCAUGUGCAAUAAAUGAAUAGAAAUAGUCAUUGCCUUUAGAAAAUUUACUUUGAUUUACUCACUGAGAGGCUCAAUGUUAAGAGUAUACCAAAUGCCGACCUCUUUCAAUUUUACUUUUUUCUAAGGUUUGUUUAGAUGUUAUGUAUUUGAGGGUGUUUCUUUUAACUCUUAAUUAUUACGCUGCUGUGACACAAUAGUCUUUGGGGUGAUGAUUUUAAUAGGAAACAUUUCAUUUUAACUCUCCAAAUUUCAUUUGCCUGACACCUUCAAACAGCCAAUUUCUAAAUGCUGGAUGGAUAUAUUUUUUUUGUAUCUAUACCUAGAGGUAGAAUGGUAUAGAUGCAGUAGUAGGAUGGAUAUAUGAAUAAAUCUAACUUUAUACUGGUGGUUGUUUUCCUCAGUGAAGUAUUAUUUUUCACACUUCACAAAUAAGGGAGCUCUGACUCAUAAAUAAAUAUUACUCUCACUAAUUUUAUUGCAACAUAAUGACUUUGCUAAUGGGAGACAGCCUUUAAAAAAGGUUAGGAGUUUCCUGGUGGCUCAGUGGGUUAAAGAUCAAGUGUUUUCACUGUAGUGGCUCAGGUUGCUGCUGUGGCAUGUAUUCGAUCCCUGUCCUGGGAACUUUUGCAUGUUGUGGGUGUGGCCAAAAAAACUUAUACUUAAAAAAUAAGUCAUAAAAAUUGAACUUUCAAAAUGAGGCCCUGAGAGCAUUGGAAAUGAAAUUCAGACCUAUGAAAACUUUAGUUUUUCAUCUUCUGGAUUCUUUUUUUUCCAUGCCCGAAGCAUGCCAAAGUUCCCAGGACAGGAACUGAACUUGUGCCACAGCAGUAACAACACUGGAUACUUAACCCGUUGAGCCACUAGGGAACUCCUCUUCUGGAUUCUUAAAUCUUUUGUAAGUCUUAUUGCUGGUUUGUUCAUCAGAAAUGAAAACUGAAUUAACAUUAUGAUUUGACUCAAUAAAUAUGAUUAUCUGUUCCUAAUGUCACGGAUUUCACUGGGGAACAUUUAGUCAUAUAAGUUGUCAGUUCUGAUUAGAAGCAGUUAUGUCUGCACCCCUAAAUUGCUGAACUCCAGAGCCUUGAAUCUUGGGGAAGUCAGAGGUUCCUUAGAUCUCUGAGAAGGUUUAAGAUCACUUAAAAUACUCGAUAAAUUGUUUUAUGUUUGAAGUGUACAGUUUACACCAUCUUCUUAAGUCCGAGAUGAUGCCCCAGCCAUGUCUUUCCCUUUAAUGAGAAAUUCACAAAUAGCACAAAUGUUAGUCUUGGGUGAGGUUUCUAGAGCCACUCUGGAAUUUCCUUGCGAGAUUUUUUUUUUUUUUUUUUUUUAAUUUGCAACGUGUGUCAUUUGCACAGUCCGUCAAUACUGAUGGCAUCCAUGCUGCUUUCCUUGUAGGAGCUAAAUCAUUUUGGUGGUUUUUCUAGAAGGACAGUCCCUUCCUUUUAUUAAAAUAAUGCCACUCGAUGGGAAUAGAUAUAGUUGUCUUUGCAUAUUUUUCUUUGAACAGGAGUAUUCUCACCAGUUUCAUUUUUUAUAUUUGAAAACAUGAAGUCAUCACCCAGCCCCUUUUCUGCUCUGCCGUGCUCUUCUUAAGGAAAUGGACUUGGGGGGUUUACUAUGAAUAUGAAUAGUUACUAAAUCCUAUGAGGAAACUCCAUCCAGGGAGCUGUGGAGGUCCAGUGUUUUGGAGGACUGGCUGGACAAAUUUGAACUUAGCUCCUGCAGUGAAUUGUGACAGGUUACUUGAUCUGUUUGGGAUUAUAGUGUUUUUCUUUGUUGUUGUAGUUUGUCAUUGGAAAAUACAAAGUUUAAUUUCUAUAUCAAUAUUUUUUUUUCUGAAACCUCUUAUUUCAGAGUUUUCCAAAUAUAGAUACUAGUAACUUUGCCCCUUCCAUCAAAAAAAAAAAAAAAAA
rnacentral:lncRNA from 1 species